ACCAAUGGUGCUGUAAUUGUUGUAGAUUGACUCAAGAAGGGGACACUUAGGCCCACUUAUACCACUCCUGAGGGAAUAGUGCACAGAAACAGAAUUAGAAGAGUUCAUCAAAAACCAAGUCCUUGAUCCUACUUCCCUGACAAGCUGGAGGUUCGACAGAGCUACAAGGUGAAAUCUCUGAUAUCAGAACAGGUGGUGGGAGAAGAAAGUUGGAGUGCCACUUGUCACCAUUUAGAUCUUAACAGUCAUGGAAGGAGGGCCUUUUAGACAUUCCAUCAGGGGCUUGCAGAGGACGUCUGGCGGCACAGCACCUGACCAACUUCAGGAGAACAAAGCCUCCAUCUGGACCUAAGGGAAAGAGAGCUGGUCGCCUGUGGAGCAGCAGAGAACAAGGCUCUGCAUCCCUUUGAAGCGCUGGCAUUCUUCUUAAUCACCUGGCAAAGUCUUAAUUUAAAGAGGGACCCUUAGAGAAGGGGGGAUCUCAAGGAUAUUUGACUUUCAUAUCAAAUCUGCUUACCUUUCAUCAGGUUUAUUAAAAUUGGUGAUGUGUUAAUUGUGAACCCCAUUUGUAUCUGAAUAUGAAAUACUGCCUUUAGGGUCUCCCUCGUUGCUCUCUUUGGUCCUGGGAUGAGCUUACAGUGCCGCCUUCGCAUUGGAGUAAUUAUUUCUGAGGAUAAAUACUGUGAUGUCAGGCACACUGGAUUUCAGUUGUUGCAGGGUAAACACAAGGGGACUUUAGGUUUUUAGAAUGCCUAAUUGGACAACAAUAAUUGUAUU